GUUGAGGUCUAUCCCGAUGGUACUUCGAUGUAAGUUCAUAUCGUUGGAAACGCCUCAGAGAUAAAAGUUGCAGUUUGCUUUGCCUUCUAAACUUUGUAAUUAGUUGGCUAUGACUGCAUAACAGCA